rnacentral:rRNA from 1 species
UACGGGGGGGGCAAGCGUUGUUCGGAAUUACUGGGCGUAAAGGGCUCGUAGGUGGCCGACUAAGUCGGACGUGAAAUCCCUCGGCUUAACCGGGGAACUGCAUCCGAUACUGGAUGGCUUGAGGUUGGGAGAGGGAUGCGGAAUUCCAGGUGUAGCGGUGAAAUGCGUAGAUAUCUGGAGGAACACCGGUGGUGUAGACGGCUUUCUGGACAGUAACUGACGCUGAGGCGCGAAAGCUAGGGGAGCAAACAGG